CACGUAGGGGGCAAGCGUUGUCCGGAAUCAUUGGGCGUAAAGCGCGCGCAGGCGGUCUUCCAAGUCAGUGGUGAAAGCCCGGAGCUCAACUCCGGAACUGCCAUUGAAACUGUAAGACUUGAGGACGAGAGAGGUGAGUGGAAUUCCCAGUGUAGAGGUGAAAUUCGUAGAUAUUGGGAAGAACACCGGUGGCGAAGGCGGCUCACUGGCUCGUAUCUGACGCUCAGGCGCGACAGCGUGGGGAUCAAACAGG
rnacentral:rRNA from 1 species